GUGUCAGCAGCCGCGGUAAUACGGAGGGGGCGAGCGUUAUUCGGAAUUAUUGGGCGUAAAGGGCGCGUAGGCGGUUCGAUAAGUCAAAGGUGAAAUCCCUCGGCUCAACUGAGGAACUGCCUUUGAAACUGUCGAGCUUGAGUCCGGGAGGGGGUAGCGGAAUUCCCAGUGUAGCGGUGAAAUGCGUAGAUACUGGGAGGAACACCGGUGGCGAAGGCGGCUACCUGGACCGGAACUGACGCUGAUGCGCGAAAGCGUGGGUAGCAAACAGGAUUAGAUACCCCCGUAGUCC
rnacentral:rRNA from 1 species